GAUGAACGCUGGCGGCGUGCUUAACACAUGCAAGUCGAACGAUGAACCGGGUGCUUGCACUCGGGGAUUAGUGGCGAACGGGUGAGUAACACGUGAGCAACCUGCCCCUGACUCUGGGAUAAGCGCUGGAAACGGCGUCUAAUACUGGAUAUGUCCCGUCACCGCAUGGUGUGCGGGUGGAAGGAUUUUUCGGUUGGGGAUGGGCUCGCGGCCUAUCAGCUUGUUGGUGAGGUAAUGGCUCACCAAGGCGUCGACGGGUAGCCGGCCUGAGAGGGUGACCGGCCGCACUGGGAGUGGGAAACGGCCCAGACUCCUACGGGAGGCAGCAGUGGUGAAUAUUGCACAAUGGGGGCAAGACUGAUGCAGCGACGCCGCGUGAGGGAUGACGGCCUUCGGGUUGUAAACCUCUUUCAGCACCGACGAAGCGCAAGUGACGGUAGGUGCAGAAGAAGGACCGGCCAACUACGUGCCAGCCGCCGCCGUAA
rnacentral:rRNA from 1 species